GAAACAGCGCGUAGCUGAAACCGGUCUAAGUGUCUGAACAACUGCCGCGCUGCUGAUUUGAAUAUCUCGGAGCAAAGCUGAUAGGUGGUUCCGUUGAGUCACGUGACGUAGCAACCCGUACUGGGAGCAGGGUGGAGCACGGGGAGGCGCUUGGACGCUCAGCCUGUGUAGCUGGUGCAGAAUUUGUCAGAGAUUGACAUGUGGAACAGUAACUCAGAAAGGAAGACCAGUCUGGAAUGUGGGCAGUACCCUCCAAACUGAGAAGAAAGAAUACUUGGGGAACAAGCUUGAAGAAGACAUACUUCCUGGCUAGAGUUCCACUUUUCAGAACACUUGGGGAGCAAGACUGAAGAAAGACCUACUUCUGGC